GUUAAGGUGGCAGAGCCCGGUCAUUGCCUAAAACUUAAGAUUUUAAGUACAGAAGUUCAAAUCCUCUCCUUAACA
ensembl:Mt_tRNA